rnacentral:tRNA from 1 species
GCGAGAGUAAUUCAGUGGUAGAAUGCUAGCUUCCCAAGCUAGCUACGCGGGUUCGAUUCCCGUCUCUCGCUCCA